UUUGAUCAUGGCUCAGAUUGAACGCUGGCGGGGUCUUUACACAUGCAAAUCCCGAACGGCAGCACGGACUUCGGUCUGGUGGCGAGUGGCGAACGGGUGAGUAUGUAUCGGAACGUACCUAAGUAGCGGGGAUAACUACGCGGCAGCAGCUAAUACCGCAUACGCCCUUCAGGAAAGCAGGAGGACCUUCGGGCCUCGCACUAUUAGAGCGGCCGAUAUCGGAUUAGCUAGUUGGUGGGGUAACGGCUCGCAAGGCGACGAUCCGUAGCUGGUUUGAGAGGACGACCGGCCACACUGGGACUGGAACUGGCCCAGACUCCUGCAGGAGGCAGCAGUGGGGAAUUUUGGACAAUGGGGAAACCUGAUCCAGCCAUCCCGCGUAUGCAGUAGAGAGCCUUCCGGGUUUAUAAAGCACUUUUGGCAGGAAAGAAACGGCACGGGAUAAUACCCGAUGCGGCAGCUGACCUGCAGAAUAAGCACCGGCUAACUACGUGCCAGCAGCCCGCGGUAAUACGUAGGGUGCAAGCGUUAAUCGGAAUUACUGGGCGUAAAGCGUGCGCAGGCGGUUCGGAAGAAAGAUGUGAAAUCCAGAGCUUAACUUUGGAACUGCAUUUUCAACUACCGAGCUAGAGUGUGUCAGAGGGAGGUGGAAUUCCGCGAUAUGCUUGGUGAAAUGCGUAGAUAUGCGGGAAGACACCGAUGGCGAAGGCAGCCUCCUGGGGAUAACACUGACGCUCAUGCACGAAAGCGUGGGGAGCAAACAGGAUUAGAUGCACCCUGGUAGUCCACGCCUAAACGAUGUCAACUAGCUGUUGGGGCCUUCGGGCCUUGGUAGCGCAACUAACGCGUGAAGUUGACCGCCUGGGAAAUACGGUCGCAAAGAUUAAAACUCAAAGGAAUUGACGGGGACCCGCACAAGCGGUGGAUGAUGUGGAUUAAUUCGAUGCAACGCGAAAAACCUUACCUACCCUUGACAUGUCUGGAAUCCCGAAGAGAUUUGGGAGUGCUCGCAAGAGAACCGGAACACAGGUGCUGCAUGGCUGUCGUCAGCUCGUGUCGUGAGAUGUUGGGUUAAGUCCCGCAACAGGCGCAACCCUUGUCAUUAGUUGCUACGAAAGGGCACUCUAAUGCAAGGACUGCCGGUGAAGCAAACCGGAGGAAGGUGGGGAUGACGUCAAGUCCUCAUGGCCCUUAUGGGUAGGGCUUCACACGUCAUACAAUGGUCAGGACAGAGGGUCGCCAACCCGCGAGGGAGCCAAUCCCAGAAACCCGAUCGUAGUCCAGAUCGCAGUCUGCAACUCGACUGCGUGAAGUCGGAAUCGCUAGUAAUCGCGGAUCAGCAUGUCGUAAUUCAGUCGCGCCAUGGGAGUGGGUUUUACCAGAAGUAGUCAGCCUAACCGUAAGGAGGGCGAUUACCACGGUAGGAUUCGCGGCUGGGGUAGAGUCGUAACAAAGGUAA
rnacentral:rRNA from 1 species